CGGGGUCCCAGGCUGUGGCAGGACAAGCCGGGCACUGACCCCUCGGGGAGGCCAGGAGAGGCCUGGCAAGAAGCAGGAGGUCAGGCAGCAACACCCCACUCCCCGCCGGGUCGGGGAGAGAACUGGUGGACGGGGCGUCCUGAGGAAACGCAGCCACAGUACCACGGGGUGGGGAGGCCACCACCGUCCUGGGGCCCAACAGCAGUGGUUCUAACCUGGCCCAGGUCAGGGUGACAUUGGGAAGCGUCCAUGCAGGAAGGCUGCCAGGGAGAAUGGACAGGGUCUGGGAAGCUAUGGGGGUCUGAGCACAGGAUUCCAAGGGGAGGGGCUGGGAUGGAAAAUGAAGGUAGCGGCCCAGGAGCAGCUGGGGCCGAGAGGGACCAGCGGCUGGAAGAUCCCGUGGCCCCAAGGAGCCCUGGACGAGAAGAGGAAAGUGCGCCCCCUCCCCGUGGGUGCAGCCCCACAGGUGGAUGGAGCCCCCUCCCAGCCUGCUCCGUGGUUCUCGUUGGGUGAACGAUCCACAUACCACGCCUGGCAGACCUCACCCUGACCUGCUGGAACUUUCUUUGUCUAGCUGUCUCUUCUCUCACUUGGUUCCUGAGGCAGCCCCCGCCCACUUGUCACCCAUUCUGUACACAAUUUCGCGUGAGAUGCUGAAACUUCCCUUGUUCCUAUGCCUAAGCCAGCUCCCUCCCCGACGCCUGCUCCACACCACCGAAUGGGGGAGCCUGGCCUUGUUUCCCCCCCCCCCAACCUGGCAUUAGCCCUGCCUUCAUGCAGGCCUUCGAGAGUUUACAUUUAGGGUCCCUGUGGGUAGCCCCAGCUGCACAGCAUCCUCUCUCAACCUCAGGUUCCUCCUUCGUGAACUGGGUUGGUGGUGUACAGUGACUGAGGUGAACCUGGCUUCCACCGGGACCCUCCUCCUUGGGACAAGGGGGAUGGCCUUCCUGUAGCCUCUGUUUAAAGUCCAAAGAGAGUCUGAGGCAGCCUUGAGCAGAAGCUGGGCCGUGUGGUCCAUGCCCUCUCAGAUCUCCUGUGACUUCCCAGCUCAGUGGAAAAUGCCAGAAGGAGAACCCUUGCCAGGAGGAGGAGGACUGAGAGCCAGGGCUCGCCAGAUCCAGGGAGAAAGGGGCCAGGCCAGGAAGAGGGAGGGACUCAGGUGGGCCAGGCGAAGGGGGACGACCUGGAGGGGCUUCCAGCCUCUGGUCCCUCUGGCUUCCAGUGUCAACUGGACCAGGAAGGAAGUGUCGGGCCAGAGGAGCUAAGCCUUGUGAGGCCGUGUGGGCUGUGAGUCAGGCCCCCAGCCCCUCGGUGGCCGACACCUGUCAUCCCGGCUGCCCUGGAAUUGCCCGGGAAGCAGAGGAGCCCGAAUUAGCAAGUGACAAGGCUCAGCCUUCCCGCCCAGCACUCUGGGCCAGCGCCCCGUGACAGCCAGCGCCACGAGCCCCCCCUGCCUCCUCCACCCCGUGUCACCAUCUUAAGCCCAUCGGGUGAUGCAGGGCCGGGUUUCCAGCGGCUCAGUCCUGGGAGGAGGUGAGGCAGGGGGCGGAGGGGGCUGGAGCAGAAGAAAUAAAGAAGGGAAAGUAGACGUCCCCCCAUUUCCUGCCACAAACCAGCCUCACUGCCGAGGCCUGAGGAUCAGAGACACCGUGCGGCACAGCAAGUCACACUCGCCCCUGGGGGCAGACACUGCACUCACUGAUGACGGUCCCCCCGGGGAGCUCAAGCAGCUCAGACCCUCUGAGCCUCCGCGUCCUCGUCUGUAAGAUGGGGUGAUGGCGGCGCUGCCUCAGUGGGUACUGGGGGCUUAACUGAGUCACGUGCUCAAAGGCUUUAAGCAAAUGCUUCACAAAUGUGGGCUCGGGUGUUCUCUGAAGCCUCUGACCGACCUGGGAAGCGGCUCGCCGAGGCCCUGGGCACCGGGCCUCUGUGCUCCUGAACCAGCCCUCCCGCUGACGCCUGGACAGGGCGAGUGCUCCGUCCAUAGGGACCAGCCCCGAUUGUCCGCGUUCCCGGGUGAUGCUGAGGCUGCUGUUCUGGGGACCCCACUUGAAGAACCACUGUCGUACUAAACCAGGGCUGCGCUGCAGGAGCCUCGGGGAGGAAGCGGCCAGGAAGGGGCCUUCUCCAUCGGAGGUUCCAAGGAAGUUCCUCCAAGACCCCGGCCAGGGUGAGAAAACUCUCCAAAACUCCGAGGCUGGGCUGAACCUCCUCCUGAGGGUAGGGAUUCCGGGGACCCCGCCCCUUCCACACUGGGGCAGAGGGUGGGCAGCCUGCUGACUCCUCUCUCGCAAGAAAGAGGGGGCCCCUCCUCCAUGUCCUCCUCAGUGUAGGCUCCAAGCCCAAGGUCUCUUCUCUCCUUGUUGGAGGAGUCACCUGCCUGAGGAUUCGCAACCCCACGUCGUGCCUCCACCUGCUCACCGUGGGGCUGCAGGGGACCCCGGACUCCAGACUCACAGCCACACCCAGACUUACCAUAACGGCUGGAGCAGAGGGGGGAAACCAACCAGGGUGUGUGUGGGAGUGAAAUUCAUUAAUCCUCCGGGACAGUGAGUGCCAGGCUUGGUGAGGCCACCCCUUCUGUUCCCGGCUCAGCCGUCCCGUGUGUCUGUGGCGGCACUUUGCAAAACAGGCUCCGCCAACCCUCGAGGGUAUGUUGCUGGCCUUGUCCACAUGUUGGCCUUUGCCCUGAUGGGGCAGAGACAGUGGUGGGUAGAGCUGCUGGUGCGAAGCAGGGACCGAGGAGCCCAGACGGUGCUGGCCGCCGUGUCCCUGUCCCCCACCCUCUCAGCGGGGCAGCCGGUUUUACUGCAGUGCCCUCGGCGAUGCGGGAAGAAGCGUGAAGUGCGUUGUACUGAAUACAGCAGGUGCACACCCUGUGCGGCUGCCAGGUCCCAACGCAGAAGGAAGGCGCACUUGGUGCCGCUCACGUGGCACGUCAUUUCCACUCGAAAGAGGGAGAGAUUGAAAAACUGUGGUCAGUUGGACUUGAAUAUUGGUAGAUGUUUUCUCCAAAAUGAACCAAACGGGCCUGUCGCUUCAAGGAAAACAGCGGAGAGUACUUGUUGUCAGUUAUAAAAUUCAAGCUUUGGGGCCGGCCUGCAGCUGAGUGGUUAAGUUUGUGUGCUCCGCUUCCACGGCCCAGGGUUUUGCUGGUUCAGAUCCUGGGUGUGGACAUGGCACUGUUCAUCAGGCCAUGCUACGGUGGCGUCCCAUAUAGCAGAACCAGAAGGACCCACAAAUAAAGAUAUACAACUACUUACUCGGGGGCUUGAAGAGAAGAAGAAGAGAAAAAAGAAGAUUGGUAACAGUUGUUAGCUCAGGUGCCCAUCUUUAAAAAAAACGAGAAAGUAAAACAACACCAAGAAAAAAAAUCAAGUUUUAUAAAAUUCAAGCUUUUAAGUGAAAACUCAAAUCUUGGAGAAUUCAUAUCCACCUUUGGGAGCUUCACCGUUUUGCAUGUUGCAAAAGUCUCCGUACGCAGAUGCCCCAAUACGUGAUAAGGUCGGCGGUGAUAAUAAAGAACCUGAUUUUUAGAAAUCAUUGAAUGAGGUAGGAAAUGUGUUAACAUUUGGAAGAUCCAUACGACUCAGGGCACCAAUAUUUUCCAGAUGCCCAAGGUGCAGCGUUACAACAUCGUGCCCAGAUGAGAGGUCCACUCUGACGAAACAGACAAUGAGAUGCCGCUGACGGGCUCCAGGUUCCACGCAGCCGCCAAACUUUAAGAAACUCCCACCUGGCGAGUCUUGACCUAGAACCCGAGAAGAAUGUCCGCAACCCUCUGGAAGGCUGUGAAAACGCUCCUCUCUUUUCUGACUACAUACCUGUGUGAGGCUGGAUAUCUUCUGUGUCCUCCCACCAAGGUGCGUUACGACAGAUCGGCUGCAGAGGCAGGUAUGAGAGUCCAGCUGACUCCUAGCAAACCAGAUGUCCAAGAGAUUCAUAAAAACGUAAAACAAUGCCACUCUUAUUAGGUACUUUUAUUUCAUAAUUUUAUUAUGAGACAUUUUAUUUAUAAUAAAUCAUAGUUUUCUUUAUUUUUAUUUAUGUUUGUAUUAUUUAUAACAUUGUAUUUAUAAAAGUAUUUUAUUCAUAUUAACACGUAAGACGGGCCUAUGAUUAUAAUUAUUAAAUGAAUUAAUAUUUUAAAAAUUUCUCAGUUUUCAUUUCUGAUAAGGUAUUUAUUGACACCUCUGACUGACUUAAAAAGUCUUUAGGGUCCUCAGUAAAGAGUGUAAAAAAGUCUUGAGCCCCCAAAUUUGAGAACCACUAUUUCUGGUUUUCGUGGUUGAUUAUCAUUAUUAUUGUCCUGACUCACUUAUGUUAUCUAUCAAAUAAAGUAAAAAACAAAAGCGAUCAAGAAAAAAUGAAGCAUGAUUUUUAAUUCUGUCAAGUGACAGCCGGUAACAGGAAUCAAUCAAGAAAUUCUUAACACCCUGUUGAGUGCGGGAGACGCCACCGCCAGGGAGCUCCGAGGAUUUCACGGGCUUAAUAAAAUGUCCCUAAAAUGACAAGUUAGGGAUGUUUUCAAAAUGAACUGCGUGGAACAGUUUGAGCGGGCAGCUGUGAGUUGUGGUUCAGUCCUUCUCUCCGUAUCUUUGUGAGAAAACUCCGGCUUUGACAGGCGGCCUCCGGGAGCCCAGGUCAGAUCCCAGGAGCUGGGGAUGCAGGUCUCCCCCUCACCACCAGAGGGAGCAUUGGUGCAGGGCUGGAGCAAACGCAGCCGAUCUGACAGCAGUGCUGUGUGACACACAGGCUAUAACCCGAUGCAGCUGUUUGAAAAUGGGUGUCUUUCUUAAGCACCUCCUCCUCGUGUGCAAUCACUCGCGGUAACUCAGGAGGUUCCGCCGGGGGUGAAAUGCACGCUUGCUGCAUUUUCGCAUGCAUUUUUGAAGCAUGAGACUUCUCCGUGCCUCAGACUAGAAUCCAGACAGAAAUGGAGCCUUAUCCUGCUUUGUCGUCCACGUGAAGAUGUGACAAACUCCCCGGACAUCUGUAAUACACGCAAUAAG
rnacentral:lncRNA from 1 species